rnacentral:tRNA from 1 species
AGGAAAUUGGCAGACAAGUGCGGGUGGCUUAGGACCAUCAUAUAUAGUUACUACUAUAUUUCCUA